rnacentral:lncRNA from 1 species
AAUCUCAAGGAAGCUCUUUGGGAGCCAGGAUUCCCAGCACUUAGCUGGUGGGCAAAGGGGUUCAACCCCUUCCCCACACCCCACCUUCCCUCCUCCCAGUCUUCGGGAUUGCGGAGCUCCUGCCGGGAUCCAAGAGCAGGCUCUUGGAGGUCGAAGAAGGAUAUAACCUCCAGACCUGGAAUUUAAGACGCAAGAACCAGCCAGCAAAAGUGGCAGCCGAGCAUGCGAAUGAAGAUGUAGAAGUCUCAGCUCCUUCAAUGCUAUGUCUGCCAAGAUGCUGCCACACUCCCUUCUUGAUGAUAAUGGACUGAACCUCUGAACCUGGACGAGAAACUACAGCAUUACUUCUGCAGAUUCACAAAGGAGUCCACGUUCCAAGAUGAGAGAAAUACCAGAAGCCGAUGGCUAUUCUACUUGACUGAAUGAAAAGAAAAGGAAGGCACUUCCUGUCAAUCCUGCUUUGGAUUCCUAGACAGUUUAAGAAGCACCAUUGAUCUGAUCAUUGGCACUGAGGAGGAAAUGCCCAUCCGCAGAAGACAUGCAGGGCUCAACCCAGCUUGACAUGGGCAAAUGAAAAUUGGAUGGAGUUAUGGCGGGACACUCUUACUGGACACUGAAACCAUCCUGCAGCAAAUUGCUUCUGUGAAAUCUUUCUGCUGUUUGGGAGGUAUCCUUCUAUAGCACAGAAACGGAAACUUCAGCCAGAAGAGAGGAAUUCAGUGACUCCAUGCCAACAGAAACAGAGCUCUGCAUUUGUUUCCUGAGCCUACUUGCACUUGGAAGGUUUCUUUCCUCACAAGAAACAUGUGUUACAGGAUAUAAAAGUGGCUUUCCGUUUGGGGUUAGAACCCGAAACAGAAAGACAACAGAGAAAAAUUUCAGCUCAGCCUUUCUAGAUUGGAAAUGAUGCAUGAAUGUUGUUGUUUCUCCAAGACUUCAGCACAGGUAUAACAUGGUGCUAAUUUAAUCACCCGGUGAAUCACCUUUUCUCUGUGAGAUGUUAACACUGAUGUAAGAUGUUUCCAUGUGAGGAACGGGAAAGACUUGAGACACAAAAAAGCUUCAAGGAUUGGUAAAUAGAAUAAUGUGGUCUGUACCCCACUAAUUUUUCUUGCCAUCCAUGAGAGGCCCGAUGGGCUGCAGCAAUGCAUCAUUUAGAUCGCCCCUUCAGCUGGUUCAUGGAAAACUAACAAAAAUUGAUGUUGUUAUCUGGGGUUUUCGUGUGUGAUUUGUCUAACUCUUUACAUUCAUUAUGGGUUUUGCCCUUCUUUAAUAAAAUGGCCUGAUAUUGCCU